AAGUCGACACUUUCAGGGAUCAUUGCUAUAAUGUGUUACUAGAGAAGCGUCUCUGAAUAGCGCAGGGCACUGGAAACCCGGCAGGAAAGCUGGAGCGCGCUUUCCCGAGCGUUAAGCUGGCUCGUGGUGCUCCCUGCUGGCGGCUGCUCUUGCUGUUGAUGCACGUUCUGCUCUUAAGCAACUGCCUGCAUUUUGU
rnacentral:snoRNA from 1 species